GAUGAACGCUAGCUACAGGCUUAACACAUGCAAGUCGCGGGGCAGCAUGGGGGUUGCUUGCAACCCCUGAUGGCGACCGGCGCACGGGUGAGUAACGCAUAUCCACCCUGCCCUUCACCACGGGAUAACCCGGCGAAAGUCGGACUAAUACCGUAUGUCGUCCAUUGACGGCAUCCGAUAUGGACGAAACGCUUGGCGGUGAACGGAUGGGGAUGCGUCCGAUUAGCCUGACGGUGGGGUAACGGCCCACCGUGGCGACGCUGGGUAGGGGUUCUGAGAGGAAGGUCCCUCACACUGGGACCGAGACACGGUCCAGACUCCUACGGGAGGCAGCAGUGAGGAAUAUUGGUGAAUGGGCGUAAGCCUGAACCAGCCAAGUAGCGUGCAGGAUGACGGCCCUAUGGGUUGUAAACUGCUUGUAUGCGGGGGUAAAGUGGCGCACGUGUGGGCUUUUGCAGGUACCGCAUGAAUAAGGACCGGCUAAUUCCGUG
rnacentral:rRNA from 1 species